GGGAUUGCCCUAGUAACGGCGAGUGAAGCGGCAACAGCUCAAAUUUGAAAUCUGGCCCUCGGGUCCGAAUUGUAAUUUGUAGAGGAUGCUUUUGGCGCGGUGCCUACCGAGUUCCCUGGAACGGGACGCCUUAGAGGGUGAGAGCCCCGUACGGUUGGACACCAAGCCUCUGUAAAGCUCCUUCGACGAGUCGAGUAGUUUGGGAAUGCUGCUCUAAAUGGGAGGUAAAUUUCUUCUAAAGCUAAAUAUUGGCCAGAGACCGAUAGCGCACAAGUAGAGUGAUCGAAAGAUGAAAAGCACUUUGAAAAGAGGGUUAAAUAGCACGUGAAAUUGUUGAAAGGGAAGCGUUUGCGACCAGACCUUUUCCCGGCGGAUCAUCCGGUGUUCUCACCGGUGCACUUCGCCGGGUUUAGGCCAGCAUCGGUUUUUGUAGGGGGAUAAAAGCUUUGGGAACGUAGCUCCCUCGGGAGUGUUAUAGCCCUUUGCAUAAUACCCUUACGGGGACCGAGGACCGCGCUUCUGCAAGGAUGCUGGCGUAAUGGUCGUCAACGACCC
rnacentral:sRNA from 1 species